CACUGAGACAUGUUGGAAGGACUUUGCACCUACAGCUCUGCCUGGCCUGGUAUUUCCCACUGCUCCAGUGCUGGGCACUUAUGGCUGCACAGGACCAGAGACACAACAGGCACAUCCAUGGUUGCCUUCUCAAUUUUCUUGCUCUGGAAGCAGAAACAGAAGAGGAGCCCCAGCCUGCAGCCUUGCAUGUGGGCAUCCUACGCAGCCUGACGGGUGGAAAAUGCUGCCGGAUUCCAAAAAACACAGUGCUGUUACAUCAUUUCUCUAGUGCUGGAAUAACAACAGAGGCUGCCUUAGGGCAGGAAAGGCCAGGUGUCUGUGCUGAGCCUCUCAGAUCUGCUGCCCAUCUUUGAUGCUGCUGGCACAAGAGAUUUGGGGCCAAGCAGAGCUGUUUUGUCUUCAUUGAGCCAGACCCUCCAGCUUCUCAACGGCCAACCAAGAUGCAUCUGGCCUUCAAGACCAUAUGAAUCUUUUCCAGCCAGCUUUUUCCAGUGCACAGUGUGCGCUGUUCCUGGUAACAUCUCACUCCAGCUACAUUAGCCCUGGAAGAGCUUUCUUGUGCAAAACUCCAAGCCAAAA